AUUGCUCUUAUACGUGGAAAAACAAAAAAACAAAACAACGAUUGCCCUUGUCCAGGUACGACCGUACGACGAUGGACGCCGUCACCUAGCAGGAACUUGAAUCUGAGGUCCUUUCCAAGAUCCGGUUCGCCAAGCACCGCUUGGAGACUUCCCUCUUUUAUGCCCGUGUGCUCUGCUUCUUUGAUUGAUCGGGAACCCUUGAUUGGGAGCUGCAAUCCGCUUUUUGGAUCGAUUUUUCGGAAUGUGGCAUGGGUAGAGGCUAUUUGCUGGAUUGGAGCUAGUGGGAGCGUUCUUGAGAUUUCUGGGGACUUUCUGACUGGGUUAAUUUGGAGUGGAGCAACGAGCGUGGUUCUGAAUCCCAUGUAUGAGGAAAACUGAACUUGUCUUGGAGUGAUUGAAGACCAAGUUGAUGCUGCUGCAGCUGCUGAAGAUCAGAAGUUUGGUGCUGCUUCCAGAUUUUCACAGUUAAAGGGCCAACAUUCUCACCACCCGUCUCUCCUUCCUUUGCGCGCGCUCUCUCUCUCUCUCUCUCAAUCACCCAAGCAGUCAUGCCAAUACCCAUCUCAGAGAUGGGGACUUACAGGUUUGUGGGUUUGCUUUUGAUCUGUCUCGCCUCUUCCGGAGUGGUAUACAUGCUUACUGUUGGAUAGGAGGUAAAGAUGGUCAGAUUGCUUUAUUAUAUGUUUGGCGCCAUGGUAUGCCUUGUUCUUCUUCUAGCCGUUGUUCUGUACGUAUGUAGGUGGUGUGGCUAUGACUUUCAAGGGGCCACCGCCGAAGAGGUCCAACUGGUAGAGGCCUCGACAAAGAGGUCGACGAGGGCGAAGGUCAGGCCCGAAAUACAUAGGUUCUAGCUUCUAUGUAGCUUUUAUUUUGUUGUUUUUCCUGUCUAUUUAGGAUUACAGGGGAGUCGGUAUUUGUUUUUUUUAGUGUGUAAAAUAGGUCAAUUGUGCAUGACGAGU